GGGUUGUGAGGUUAAGUGACUAAGCGUACACGGUGGAUGCCCUGGCAGUCAGAGGCGAUGAAGGACGUGCUAAUCUGCGAAAAGCGUCGGUAAGGUGAUAUGAACCGUUAUAACCGGCGAUGUCCGAAUGGGGAAACCCAGUGCAAUUCGUUGCACUAUCGUUAACUGAAUACAUAGGUUAACGAGGCGAACCGGGGGAACUGAAACAUCUAAGUACCCCGAGGAAAAGAAAUCAACCGAGAUUCCCCCAGUAGCGGCGAGCGAACGGGGAGCAGCCCAGAGUCUGAAUCAGCUUGUGUGUUAGUGGAACGGUCUGGAAAGUCCGACGGUACAGGGUGAUAGUCCCGUACACCAAAAUGCACAGGCUGUGAACUCGAAGAGUAGGGCGGGACACGUGGUAUCCUGUCUGAAUAUGGGGGGACCAUCCUCCAAGGCUAAAUACUCCUGACUGACCGAUAGUGAACCAGUACCGUGAGGGAAAGGCGAAAAGAACCCCGGCGAGGGGAGUGAAAAAGAACCUGAAACCGUGUACGUACAAGCAGUGGGAGCACCUUCGGGUGUGACUGCGUACCUUUUGUAUAAUGGGUCAGCGACUUAUAUUCUGUAGCAAGGUUAACCGUAUAGGGGAGCCGCAGGGAAACCGAGUCUUAACUGGGCGUUAAGUUGCAGGGUAUAGACCCGAAACCCGGUGAUCUAGCCAUGGGCAGGUUGAAGGUUGGGUAACACUAACUGGAGGACCGAACCGACUAAUGUUGAAAAAUUAGCGGAUGACUUGUGGCUGGGGGUGAAAGGCCAAUCAAACCGGGAGAUAGCUGGUUCUCCCCGAAAGCUAUUUAGGUAGCGCCUCGUGAACUCAUCUUCGGGGGUAGAGCACUGUUUCGGCUAGGGGGUCAUCCCGACUUACCAACCCGAUGCAAACUACGAAUACCGAAGAAUGUUAUCACGGGAGACACACGGCGGGUGCUAACGUCCGUCGUGAAGAGGGAAACAACCCAGACCGCCAGCUAAGGUCCCAAAGUCAUGGUUAAGUGGGAAACGAUGUGGGAAGGCACAGACAGCCAGGAUGUUGGCUUAGAAGCAGCCAUCAUUUAAAGAAAGCGUAAUAGCUCACUGGUCGAGUCGGCCUGCGCGGAAGAUGUAACGGGGCUAAACCAUGCACCGAAGCUGCGGCAGCGACACUAUGUGUUGUUGGGUAGGGGAGCGUUCUGUAAGCCUGCGAAGGUGUGCUGUGAGGCAUGCUGGAGGUAUCAGAAGUGCGAAUGCUGACAUAAGUAACGAUAAAGCGGGUGAAAAGCCCGCUCGCCGGAAGACCAAGGGUUCCUGUCCAACGUUAAUCGGGGCAGGGUGAGUCGACCCCUAAGGCGAGGCCGAAAGGCGUAGUCGAUGGGAAACAGGUUAAUAUUCCUGUACUUGGUGUUACUGCGAAGGGGGGACGGAGAAGGCUAUGUUAGCCGGGCGACGGUUGUCCCGGUUUAAGCAUGUAGGCUGGUUGUCCAGGCAAAUCCGGAUAAUCAAGGCUGAGGUGUGAUGACGAGGCACUACGGUGCUGAAGUAACAAAUGCCCUGCUUCCAGGAAAAGCCUCUAAGCAUCAGGUAACAUCAAAUCGUACCCCAAACCGACACAGGUGGUCAGGUAGAGAAUACCAAGGCGCUUGAGAGAACUCGGGUGAAGGAACUAGGCAAAAUGGUGCCGUAACUUCGGGAGAAGGCACGCUGGUGUGUAGGUGAAGUCCCUGCGGAUGGAGCUGAGACCAGUCGAAGAUACCAGCUGGCUGCAACUGUUUAUUAAAAACACAGCACUGUGCAAACACGAAAGUGGACGUAUACGGUGUGACGCCUGCCCGGUGCCGGAAGGUUAAUUGAUGGGGUUAUCCGUAAGGAGAAGCUCUUGAUCGAAGCCCCGGUAAACGGCGGCCGUAACUAUAACGGUCCUAAGGUAGCGAAAUUCCUUGUCGGGUAAGUUCCGACCUGCACGAAUGGCGUAAUGAUGGCCAGGCUGUCUCCACCCGAGACUCAGUGAAAUUGAACUCGCUGUGAAGAUGCAGUGUACCCGCGGCAAGACGGAAAGACCCCGUGAACCUUUACUAUAGCUUGACACUGAACAUUGAGCCUUGAUGUGUAGGAUAGGUGGGAGGCUUUGAAGCGUGGACGCCAGUCUGCGUGGAGCCAACCUUGAAAUACCACCCUUUAAUGUUUGAUGUUCUAACGUUGGCCCCUUACCGGGGUUGCGGACAGUGUCUGGUGGGUAGUUUGACUGGGGCGGUCUCCUCCCAAAGCGUAACGGAGGAGCACGAAGGUUAGCUAAUCCUGGUCGGACAUCAGGAGGUUAGUGCAAUGGCAUAAGCUAGCUUGACUGCGAGCGUGACGGCGCGAGCAGGUGCGAAAGCAGGUCAUAGUGAUCCGGUGGUUCUGAAUGGAAGGGCCAUCGCUCAACGGAUAAAAGGUACUCCGGGGAUAACAGGCUGAUACCGCCCAAGAGUUCAUAUCGACGGCGGUGUUUGGCACCUCGAUGUCGGCUCAUCACAUCCUGGGGCUGAAGUAGGUCCCAAGGGUAUGGCUGUUCGCCAUUUAAAGUGGUACGCGAGCUGGGUUUAGAACGUCGUGAGACAGUUCGGUCCCUAUCUGCCGUGGGCGCUGGAGAAUUGAGGGGGGCUGCUCCUAGUACGAGAGGACCGGAGUGGACGCAUCACUGGUGUUCGGGUUGUCAUGCCAAUGGCACUGCCCGGUAGCUAAAUGCGGAAGAGAUAAGUGCUGAAAGCAUCUAAGCACGAAACUUGCCCCGAGAUGAGUUCUCCCUGAGACUUUAAGUCUCCUGAAGGAACGUUAAAGACGAUGACGUUGAUAGGCCGGGUGUGUAAGCGCAGCGAUGCGUUGAGCUAACCGGUACUAAUGAACCGUGAGGCUUAACCUUACAACGCCGAAG
rnacentral:rRNA from 1 species